ACUACAGUGGUGUAAUGGUUAGCACAUCUGCCUAGUAAGCAGGAGAGUCAGGUUCAAGUCCUGGCUGUGGCA